AACAGUUCCGUUCUGAACGCCAACAAAUGCACAACUCCAAGUGAGAGAUACUUUAAUUCAAUGUAAAAUUUGUAAAUAUUUUUUUUAAAUUUUCAAAGGCUGGCUUUAUGUGUAUUGAUUACGGAUUUUAAGAGCACCUAAUACAUAUGUAAAUUUUAUUGUGUGUUUGUGUAUUCCUAAGUUGGAAAUAACGUAUAAUACGAACUUUUAAAAAAUCUAAUGAAAUUAUUAUAAAUCAAUAUUAAGCAAAUCAAGUCAUAAUGAGUACGGAAAAUGGUGUUCUCAGUAUUGAGCUGCCUAGAAAAAAUGAAAAAGAAAGUAAACAAUUCCAAGGAAAAGACUUAAUUGAACGUCCCAAUUGGUCAAAUGGGCUAGAAUUUCUCAUGUCAUGCAUAUCAAUGUCUGUUGGACUUGGGAAUGUAUGGCGAUUUCCUUUUACAGCUUACGAAAAUGGUGGAGGAGCGUUUUUGAUUCCAUAUAUUAUCGUUCUCUUUAUAAUAGGAAAGCCAAUGUAUUAUCUCGAAAUGAUUUUGGGUCAGUUCUCAAGUAAAGGUUCGGUGAAGAUUUGGAGCAUUUGCCCCUCUUUCGUAGGCAUAGGGUAUGGUCAAGCUUUCGCUACAAUUUGCAUUAUCACUUACUACUCAUCUCUUCUGGCAUUGACAUUAUAUUACCUGAUAGUUUCUUGUCAAUCGGUACUUCCGUGGACAUAUUGUAGAUCCGAAUGGGGUAACAAUUGUAUCAAUUCAAAUCCAAUUGGAGAUGGGAUAGAAAGCAGUAUUGAAAACUCUUCAAUGCAGCUACAAAGCAGUUCUGAGCUCUACUUUUUAAAAGAAGUUAUAAAAGAAAAGGAAAACAUUGAGGAUGGACUAGGAAUGCCAGAAUGGAAAUUAACUUUAACACUUUUUGUCUCGUGGAUUGUAAUUUUCUUGGUCAUCAUGAGAGGCGUAAAAAGUUCCGGAAAAGCGGCUUAUUUUUUGGCUUUGUUUCCUUACGUAAUACUCCUGGCAUUACUAGUGCGUGCAGUUACACUGGAGGGAGCGGCAAAAGGAAUAAUGUUUUUCCUAGAACCUAAUUGGCAUGAACUACUUAAUCCAAAGGUGUGGAAGGAGGCUGUGGUACAAUGCUUUUUCUCUCUCGCAGUUGGACUUGGUCCCAUAGUUAUGUUUUCUUCGUAUAAUCAUUUCGAUCACUGCAUUUACAGGGAUGCUAUGAUCGUUACAACAUUAGAUACCUUUACAAGCUUACUGGCUGGUGUAUCUAUUUUUGGCAUUCUUGGAAAUUUGGCGCAUAACCUUCAAAUUACAGACAUCAAAGAGGUCGUCAAAAGUGGUACUGGUCUUGCCUUCAUUUCAUAUCCGGAUGCCAUUGCAAAAUUUCAAGCAGUUCCCCAGAUUUUCGCCAUACUUUUCUUUUUCAUGCUGUUUGUAUUGGGGGUUGGAUCCAUUGUGGCGCUACACUGUACAAUUGUCACUAUAAUAUGCGAUCAAUUUAAAUCACUUCGAUACUGGAAAGUAGCACUGGUGACAUGUGUAUGUGGAUUUCUGGCGAGCAUAAUAUACGUUACACCGGGAGGUCAAUGGAUAUUAAACUUAGUGGACUUUUAUGGAGGAACUUUUGUUAUUUUUGGCCUAGCGAUUUUAGAAACGAUCAGUAUUUCAUGGAUAUAUGGGAUAAACAAUUUUUGUGAUGAUGUUCAAUUCAUGACGACGCAUGAAGUGUCUUUUUACUGGCGGGUGUGUUGGGCAUUUCUUACUCCAUUGUCAAUGAUCAUAAUUUUUGUAUACUCGCUGUCAUCCAUAGAGCCUUUGACUUAUAGUGCCAAGCUAUAUCCAGACGCUGCAAAUGUUUCUGGAUGGAUUCUAUUUACGAUUGGAAUGGCUCAAUUUCCUCUCUGGGCUAUAUGGAGUAUUUCUACUCAUAGGAAUGAAGGAAUAUGGAAUUCAAUUCGUUCAUCUAUCAGAUCAAGUCCUAAAUGGGGUCCUUCUAAAGAAAAAAAUAGACGGGAUUGGAUUGCAUUCAAAGAAAAAUGUGCACAAGAGAGAGCAACACGAAACAACGAAGGAAAAAUAAAACAGUUAUGCCAAAAAAUUUUCAAUUUAAUUAAGUCAUCAUAGUAAACAAGAUAACAUGACACAAUAUUUGUAUAACGAUACCUUGAUGUUUAGUUUUUUCAAAUCGUAGUAUGCACAGGUCAGACUAGCAGGCAAGCAGAUUAAUUUUAAAAAGGCAUAAAUUAAUAGAAUAAGUGGUAGGUAAUAAUCUGAAGAAUUGGGACUGUCUUAACGCAACACCUGGCCGAGUUCGAGAAGGGAUCCAAACAAUUAUUCAUGAACAAUCAUUACAUUCACUUAAAUUGACAGUUUGUUGUAUUUUUUGGUCUGGUGGAAUCAUCGAUCCACUCUUCUUUCGAAAUGAAGCUGGUUAGACCGUUGCUGUCAAUGAAGAGCGGUAUUAAUCGAUGAUAACUAUUUAGGUCCGAUUGCGAGAAAAGUUUGGAGCUUCGAUUAUUUCAAGAAAUUGUGAUAGUGUUGUGAUUAAACACCAUUAGACACUUCAUUACUCGAUUUUUUUAAGUUAUUGGUCUUUAGCAAUAUACCAGAUUCUCUUCAAGCUUUAGGAGUCGAUAUUGAACGUGAUAUUAUGACAGACGGUUUGAUUUAGUGGAAAAAGUACUCAAAAAUUUGAUUCAUCGAAUUCGUUCCUGCAAAAGAAAUCGUGAAGCCCAUUUGAGUGAUGUUAUAUUCAAAACAUAAUUGUAUCGAUUGUACUGAACAAAAAAAAAAAAAAACAACAUUUGAAUUUCCUUAACAA
rnacentral:misc_RNA from 1 species